rnacentral:rRNA from 1 species
UACGGAGGGAGCUAGCGUUGUUCGGAAUUACUGGGCGUAAAGCGCACGUAGGCGGCUUUGUAAGUUAGAGGUGAAAGCCCGGGGCUCAACCCCGGAAUUGCCUUUAAGACUGCAUCGCUUGAAUCCAGGAGAGGUGAGUGGAAUUCCGAGUGUAGAGGUGAAAUUCGUAGAUAUUCGGAAGAACACCGGUGGCGAAGGCGGCGACCUGGGUAGAUACUGACGCUGAGGCGCGAAAGCGUGGGGAGCAAACAGG